UGUCGGUCCUCUCGCAACGAUUUGUCGUGAACCUGGUCAGGCCUGGAAGGGAGCAGCCACAGCGACUACUUCGUGUGCCGGGAUGUGGCUGGCGGAG
rnacentral:SRP_RNA from 1 species